AUUGAACGCUGGCGGCAUGCCUUACACAUGCAAGUCGAACGGCAGCACGGGUGCUUGCACCUGGUGGCGAGUGGCGAACGGGUGAGUAAUAUAUCGGAACGUACCUUAUCGUGGGGGAUAACGCAGCGAAAGCUGCGCUAAUACCGCAUACGCCCUGAGGGGGAAANCGGGGGACCGUAAGGCCUCGCGCGAUUUAGAGCGGCCGAUAUCUGAUUAGCUUGUUGGUGGGUAAAAGCCCACCAAGGCGACGAUCAGUAGCUGGUCUGAGAGGACGAUCAGCCACACUGGGACUGAGACACGGCCCAGACUCCUACGGGAGGCAGCAGUGGGGAAUAUUGGACAAUGGGCGCAAGCCUGAUCCAGCAAUUCCGCGUGGGUGAAGAAGGUCUUCGGAUUGUAAAGCCCUUUCGUUGGGGACGAUGAUGACGGUACCCAAAGAAGAAGCCCCGGCUAACUUCGUG
rnacentral:rRNA from 1 species